GCUUUGCUCUCCCUGCUCCCCAUUUUCUGCAGUCUCGGCAGGUGGAUUGGGCGGUGACCUAGCCAGGGGGCCAUAUACUUGAGCACUUACUUUGGGGCAAACAUCCAUGUCCAGGUUUCAUGGAAGGUGGAUAACAGAGCAGCCAUAGCUGGAGAAGAUCUUGCGGCCGGUCACUUACCUGCUCCCACACAAGGGUCUGUGCUAUUCUCCUAGGAAGCCUGCUGGACCAUUAGAGGUUCUAGCUGAGAACUAAGGAACCUAGAAGAGAGAGGAGGAAAUGAGACCAGAAUCUGGAGAAGCUGUUUCCGGGUAUAGUGAAAUCUCCAGGCUGUCCAGAGUGUGAGGUGCUGCCUGAAGGGACCUGUCACACCCCCGGGGUAGAAGGUCCAAGCUCCUGUCCCUCAAGUUAGGAGACAACUCUGAAAGGCCAUCCUGUCUCUAUCGAUGGCUUUUGCAAAUGCAGUGCAUAAAAAUUUACCUCUGCUCAGUGCUGCUCCUGCUCAUCCCUCCUUCAGAGGAUGCUCUGAUCACAAGCCCGGAACAUGGGUCUCUUGCUUGGAGUCCGUUGCCACCAGAGGUGUGUGAGCCAUCCUGGCGAGAGGGUGGGCAGACGGAUGCUGAGCGCACCCACCAUGUCCAUUCUGCGGC